rnacentral:rRNA from 1 species
GCGGUUAGACUUGCUCUCCUACUCAAAAAAAUUAUACGAACAAUUUUUAUUUGGGUUGUCUAAUAAUAAACAUAGGAAUUGUAAUUUCAAAAUUUGGCAACUUAAUUGGAUUAGUACCCAAGUAAAAAAAUGAAUAAAGUAAGGUUAAACCUAAAUUAAAUGGCAGUAUUUUUGAAAAACAGAGAAACUUGAAAUUUAGAAAAUCCACUUUGUUAUUAAUCUUAUAAAUGUUUAAGUAUGGCUGUCUAAAAAUAAUCUUUUGAUUAAAUUUAUAGUCAAGCAACAUUUAACUUAUAAGAAAAUUUUGAGUUGCAAUAAAUAAAUUAUAAAAAAUUAUAGAUAAUAAGGAUUUGUAAGUAAAAACAAUUUUUUGAAAUAUACUUAAGUACA